UACGGAGGGUGCGAGCGUUGUCCGGAAUCACUGGGCGUAAAGGGCGCGUAGGCGGCCUGAUAAGUAGGGGGUGAAAUCCUGCGGCUUAACCGCAGGGCUGCCUUCUAAACUGUCAGGCUAGAGCACAGUAGAGGCAGGUGGAAUUCCCGGUGUAGCGGUGGAAUGCGUAGAGAUCGGGAAGAACAUCAGUGGCGAAGGCGGCAUCCUGGACUGGUCCUGACACUCAGGAGCGAAAGCGUGGGGAGCGAUCCGG
rnacentral:rRNA from 1 species